CUAGAUGGCUGACGAGUGGCGAACGGGUGAGUAACGCGUAGGGAUCUGCCCUGUAGUGGGGGACAACUCGAGGAAACUCGAGCUAAUACCGCAUAUGCUCUAUGGAGCAAAGCUGGGUUUCGGCCUGGCGCUAUAGGAGGAACCUGCGUUCGAUUAGCUUGUUGGUGGGGUAAAGGCCUACCAAGGCGACGAUCGAUAGCUGGUCUAAGAGGAUGAACAGCCACACUGGGACUGAGACACGGCCCAGACUCCUACGGGAGGCAGCAGUGGGGAAUAUUGGACAAUGGGGGAAACCCUGAUCCAGCAAUGCCGCGUGUGUGAAGAAGGCUUUCGGGUCGUAAAGCACUUUCGGUGGGGAGGAAAGGUAGAUGUUUAAGAGAUAUCUGCUGUGACGUUACCCGCAAAAGAAGCACCGGCUAACUCUGUGCCAGCAGCCGCGGUAAGACAGAGGGUGCGAGCGUUAAUCGGAAUUACUGGGCGUAAAGGGCGCGUAGGUGGAUGAAUAAGUCAGAGGUGAAAGGCCUGGGCUCAACCCAGGGAUUGCCUUUGAUACUGUUUAUCUAGAGUACGAUAGAGGGUGGUAGAAUUUCCGGUGUAGCGGUGAAAUGCGUAGAUAU
rnacentral:rRNA from 1 species